CAUGUGCCCCCCUUUUCCAUUAACAUAAGUGGAAAAUUACUACUACCCCUAGGAAUGCUGCUAACUGCAGAUGUCUUUGCUUUAAGAGCUGCGAGUUAAGAGGAAGAUAGGUGGUGGUAAAAGAUCAGGUGGUUGUAAAAGGUCAGGUGCUGAAGGAACUUAUCUGUUCAGGAACUCAUCAUGUUAGCAGAAACGGCCACCUGCAUGAUUGCCUGAAAUAAAUAUUUCCUCCUUCAGAAUUGUAUUUAAAGGUUGGAAAAAUAAAAUUCGUGGCUGCAGACCUCGGGUCUGAGCCCUCCCGAC